UUAUUACAUUUAGGGGGAGUACUUUUAAAGGACUUAAAUCCUUUUUAAUUUACCUAUUUUAUGGGAAGCAUAAACUUUAGAUGAUUUUUUGAAAAGAGGGGGUGAAGCUUUUGAUUGAGAACUUUUGUGAUAACUGGAGGAUAUGAGUCUUGCCCAGAAAGCUAAUUUUGAUCAAAUUUAUGAGUAGUAGCAAGCUCAUGAAGAUUAUAUGGUUGAUCAACUUGACAUUGAUGUUCAUCUAGGAAAUAUUGAAAAUCACCUAAACCUUCAAUCACCCGAGAGAUCCCCAUAGAAUUAGGAUUUUUUUGUCUGAGUGCUUUGUUGAUUGGUUGUUAUUCUUAUCUCUCUGUUAUAUUUUUGUCUUUUAUGUUUCUCCUUAUGGUGUCUAUGUAAUCAUUUCUUUUAUGAAUAACAUGAUCUCUUGUUUUAUGCAUACAUUGUUUAAUUUAGGGGGAGAUCAUAUUUAGGGGGAGCUUUUUAAUUUAAUCUUUUUGCUUAUGAUCAAAAAGGGGGAGAAGAAUAAUAUAAGGGGAGAAGUAUAAUACAAAUUAAUAAUUGAUACAGGUACUGCUAACUUUGUUUUCUGUUAGCUCGUACAUAUUGCAGGUAAGCCAGAGUUGCUUUUAAAAGUGAAUUUUUGAUCAUCAUCAAAAAGGGGGAGAUUGUUACCCAUAAGGAGCAUUGGUAAAACAUGAAGAAUUGUUUUGAUGAUGCUGCAAGAAGUAUUAUUUAAAGAGAACAUUAGAUUUAUUUAA
rnacentral:lncRNA from 1 species